UGUCGUGUAAUCAGAUUUAAAUGACACUCUAUUUAUAGUAGAUAGGCACAUGGGUCAUUGCUGUCUUGCUAGACCUGUGUGGCAAAUGCCAGUGUGUUUAUCUGUACAUAUAGCGGCCUCUUUGAUUUUUUCUUCCUUUAGGAGAUGAUGCUGAAAAUGAUGAGAGCAGCAUAAAUAAUGGUUGCAUUGAUUGAAUUAAUUAGUGGCUCACUAAUUAACAAACCAGGAUGCUGAAACUUGCUAUAGAUUAUUGCUCAUGUCAAAUGAGGAUUGCAUAUUUGUUCAGUUAAACUGCUAUUUUGAGUAUUUCUCUAUGAUGAGUUAAAUUAUUUUUUCCAAUACAGUGAAACUGCAGGUGCUAUACUUGCAAAGGCGGAGAUGGAAGAGCACAAAGGGCUAAUUGCAUAUUUGUUCAGUUAAACUGCUAUUUUGAGUAUUUCUCUAUGAUGAGUUAAAUUAUUUUUUCCAAUACAGUGAAACUGCAGGUGCUAUACUUGCAAAGGCGGAGAUGGAAGAGCACAAAGGGCUAAACUAGCUCAUACCGGAGAAUGAAACUGAACUUCUCUAUUUAUCGAGUGUAUCAUUGUACCACGGGAAGACUCUCCCCCAAGAUCAAUGCACAUGUCUGCCAGGAAUCUAGGAAUCAAGAACAACAUUGAUCCAAGGGCACGGUGCCAUGACUGCUGAUUCUUUAGUGAUAAAGUGUGUCUUCUAUUUAUGCACUCUUUCUAUCAAUCAUCAAUUUGCUCCCAGUUAUCCAUGUUUAUGUACGUGUCUUCUGUCUCCAAUCUGCUGGUCUUUAAUUAUGCUGGUUUCUCUCCCAGUUGAUUGUUCGUCCUCUAUAGAGUUGUCAAUGAAAAGGCUCCAGGCAGUGUCACGGUCAGGAAUCUCUUUUCCAGGCAGCCGAAGAUGGUCAGGUAAUCAACCAUAUCACGGACCGCGAAGUUGUAUGUGUCUUUUGGCGGCUGUUUGGAUCGGGGCCCAAAACCUGGCUCGCCCCGCUUGCCUAGAGCCCCUGCAUGUUACGUGCGGGUGAAUUGAGGGCGCGGAUGAACUUUAUUAUAAAGGUUGCACAAUGCAUUGGGUGGACAGGCUCAAUGCUUCGUCUGCAGGCUACCCUGACAAUGAUUGUUUCGUUGUCGACCGGGUGCGGUUUCAGCAUCGUUUCUUGCUACUACAGGAUCAAAGUCGUUGUAGGCUGGGAGGCAAUAAAUACUAUCAGGCCCGUUCAUGGUGUGUUGGGUUCGGCCCAGUUACAAGACAGAGGCAGAGGAGAUGAAUACAAGAAGUCGAGAAGACACCCUUCUCUCUGUUUCUAAAUUACAGAGUACCUCGCCUCCUCGCUGCCCGCCGGGGGCGCCUGGUUCAGGGCCGCCCUCGCCUGCUGCGGCUAUGUCCUGCUGGCGCAGCUCGCCGCGCUGGGGUACGAGGCCGUGGCGGCGGCGACGCCCGUCGAGGCCGAGGCGCUGCUGCUGCCGGCCGUGCAGGCGCUGGCCUGGGCAGCGCUGCUGGCGCUCGCGCUGCGGGCGCGUGCCGGCGGCUGGGGCAGGUCCCCGGCGCUCGUCCCGGUCUGGUGGGUGCUCUCCUCACUCCCCGCCGAGAUGCUUGAUUGGUGAUCCCAGCUCUUCGUGCUCGCCUCGCCCCGCUCCGCCGUGUCAGCCAACCGAUGGAAGAUGGAGUAGGGAUCGGGAGAGGAACAAGGAGUAAGAGGAGACCACUUGCUGGUGGCUAGAGAACCACAUCCCCAGCGCCAUGCUCCUGAGUCCGCUUCUACUGCCUCCAGUCGGAAUACCUACCUACAACAGCAAGGCUCUUUCAUUUCAUAUAUGGACGGCAAGGGCGUCUUCAGCAGCGUCUAAACAGGAUUCGACUGCCCACUCGAUGCCAAGGGAGAUGCAUCGCUGUCGCCGUCAAGGGACUCAACCAGCGCGGCCUCCAGAGAUUCACUUAAUUUGGUAUAAAAACAAUAUAGCCACCGCCAUGUCGAUGAACUCUGAAGCUGAAUUUUUUUUGUGGUUUCAUAUUUUAUUUGGAAGAAUGUCUGGGACCAACUAUCAUUUAAAACACGAAGAAUAUGGUGUUCAUGUUAUUUCUUCGCUUCUUUUUGGUGUUGUGCUGCCCUGUUGAGAGCCGACAGGAAGAAUAGGAAGCAGAGUCCGUAGGUCAUGGCUUUGUGCAGCUAGCCAGCAUGAAUAAUCGUGUGUCUGAUGCUUAGCCAAGCAGUGUUCCAUUCAUCUAUAAAUAGAUCGAGUGGUACUUUCAUUACUUAGGUGAGAAGUGUUUCAUUCAUUUGAAACUCAAGAUCUGAUAGUGGCACCCUCAAAGAGAUAGCGUUGCAUGUGCAUAACUCACAAUUUGAAAAAUAAUUCCCUAUAUUUAUUUGUUUCUUUCUUAUUCAUAUUUCUGGUUCCUGAAAUGAAUCUCUAUCAUUUUCGACACAUUAGGAGAGCCAAUGAUGGUUUGCUUAAUUGACAAAGUCUUUUUUAUUAGUGUUCUAUACAGAACAACCCUUUUGGGUUAUGACUAAUCUCUCAAUUAUUUGGUCUGGUGCCUCUACUAAUCUAUCGUUACUUUACAAUUGAAAUUUUUAGUGUGAAACAACAGUUGUAUCUCCUGCCACUAAAGAGAUCUAAUAGGGAACAUGUAAAUAAUACUUGGAAAUGAAGGCAAUAUUUUUUAUACAUUAUUUCAAUGGCUCGAUCCACACCCACGCGCUGCUUGGCAUCGCCAGGUCACUGUUGCGUGAUUGUCCAACAUUGCUGCCAUGCGUCCUCAAGCAGGAGGAACCGAUUUCUAAGUUGUAGGAGCAACAGGAAGGAGAACAUCUAUGUGCUCGGUCAUACUCUCAGGAAACCAUGAUGUGUUAUUUCCAUUGAAAUGAAUUACUGGUUUAUAUGUGUUUGGUAAUCUGCUUUGAACUGUACGCCUGGUUGCUUAUUAGAUUUGAUUAUACGUGUUUGAUUCUCUGAAAAUGAUCCAGCGUAUGUGUUAGCAGGCUAAGAUGUAUGAUUGCAUCACUGUUAUAUAUUUGUUUUUGCCAUCACUUCAUGGUUUUUGGUCUAUGCACUUCGUGUUUUCUCUUCAGAACAAUGCAAGCACUUCAUGGUUCUAUUAAUCAUGUGCUACUAAACCAAACACUUCUCUCCCUCUAAAUUGUCUCUGAACUGCAGCACGGCAAUGAUACAAGCAAGUACAAGACGGUUGUGAGACCAACAUCUCCUUGGGCUCUCCCAGGCCUUCAUUUCUCCGAAGGCUGAUCAUGUUGACUUCUUAAGCCAGACAAGCCGACGUUGUUUAACAUAUUGGAGGUGGAUGUGCUUGGCCAGAAGAAGGCAUGGAGUCAACCUCGCCGCCUCUGCACGUCGCAGGGUGUAUCAUAUCUUGUCAACUUAUUGUGGUAACUGAAUGUUCUUCUGCAUUCAAGAAAUUUACGGUGUUGAGGAAGCAACAACUCAUGCGUUACAGAUGUAGUGCUUGUAUGCUGGAAUUUUGGAGUAGCAGUAAAGUUUGGCAGCUGAGUUGCUUGCAGUAGUUGAGUACUCCUGUAUGUGUUAGAGCAAGAUUGCGCUCACCAAGAUCUUAAAUAGGAGCCAUGUUGAAUUCACCAGGAUCUUCCAUGUUUAAGUCACCAGGAUCUCCACCAGGUGAUGUGCCGUGCUGGACGAUCUGGAGCUGGAUUUGCUACUCGGGCUGGGGCUGGAGCUGGAGCUAGAGCUGGCGUCACCUGCCUCUGCCAGGAGCUGCAACUGCCUCUUCCUUGAGCUGCUCCUGCCUUUGCCUGGACCUGCUGUUGGCUGGAGUUGCGCCUGCUGAUGGCGGAGGAGGGAAGCGGAGGAUCUGUUGGAGGGGGAGGGAGGCGGAGCUGCUGGAUCUGGACAGAGGGCUGAGGAGGAGGAGGGAGGUGGAGGAUCUGGGCAGAGGAUGGAGGAGGAGGGAGGCGGAGCUGCUGGAUCUGGACAGAGGGCCGAGAAGGAGGAGGGGGGUGGAGGAUCUGGGCAGAGGGUGGAGGAGGAGGGAGGCGGAGCUGCUGGAUCUGGACAGAGGGCUGAGGAGGAGGAGGGAGGUGGAGGAUCUGGGCAGAGGGUGGAGGAGGAGGGAGGCGGAGCUUCUGGAUCCGGGAGGAAGAGGGCUGGAGGUAGAGGAAGGAGGCGGAAUUCAAAUUGAGGGGGUAACCUGGUCCUUUUCACGGUUUUCGCCUGGUCGGAGAAUUUCUCCAGCGACUGAUUGCAUUCUUAUGCUUCUAGGUUUAUAUCAGCAACCUGCCUUUACUAUUAGGUUUUCAUAAUUUUGACUACAUAAGUAUGUGUGAUUACUGAACUAUGGACUAUUCAUGCAGUCCUUUAUUUGAGCUUUUAUAUGAGUGCAUUAGAUGCUGGUUUUGAGCA